rnacentral:rRNA from 1 species
GACCUCGUGUUAGGGUAGAGUACCCGCCAAAUUUAAGCAUAUUAAUAAGCGGAGGAAAAGAAACCAACAGGGAUUCCCUUAGUAAGGGCGACUGAACCGGGAAAAGCCCAGCGCAUAACCUGGCGUCGUGACCCGGCGCCAGGGGUGUUGCGUUUCGGAGGGUCCGGCACGCAGUCUCUCACCGCCUAAGUUAUGCUUGAAAGCGGCCACUACCCAUGGAGGGUGACAGGCCCGUGUGGCGGAGCCCGCGAGGGUACGCGAGAGAUUGUCGGAAAGGGCCUCUCUGUAGAGUCGGGUUGCUUGAGAAUGCAGCCCUAAGCAGGUGGUAAACUCCAUCUAAGGCUAAAUAUGACCACGAGACCGAUAGCGAA